GGUUAAGCGACUAAGCGUACACGGUGGAUGCCCUGGCAGUCAGAGGCGAUGAAGGACGUGCUAAUCUGCGAUAAGCGUCGGUAAGGUGAUAUGAACCGUUAUAACCGGCGAUUUCCGAAUGGGGAAACCCAGUGUGUUUCGACACACUAUCAUUAACUGAAUCCAUAGGUUAAUGAGGCGAACCGGGGGAACUGAAACAUCUAAGUACCCCGAGGAAAAGAAAUCAACCGAGAUUCCCCCAGUAGCGGCGAGCGAACGGGGAGCAGCCCAGAGCCUGAAUCAGUGUGUGUGUUAGUGGAAGCGUCUGGAAAGGCGCGCGAUACAGGGUGACAGCCCCGUACACAAAAAUGCACAUGCUGUGAGCUCGAUGAGUAGGGCGGGACACGUGGUAUCCUGUCUGAAUAUGGGGGGACCAUCCUCCAAGGCUAAAUACUCCUGACUGACCGAUAGUGAACCAGUACCGUGAGGGAAAGGCGAAAAGAACCCCGGCGAGGGGAGUGAAAAAGAACCUGAAACCGUGUACGUACAAGCAGUGGGAGCACGCUUAGGCGUGUGACUGCGUACCUUUUGUAUAAUGGGUCAGCGACUUAUAUUCUGUAGCAAGGUUAACCGAAUAGGGGAGCCGAAGGGAAACCGAGUCUUAACUGGGCGUUAAGUUGCAGGGUAUAGACCCGAAACCCGGUGAUCUAGCCAUGGGCAGGUUGAAGGUUGGGUAACACUAACUGGAGGACCGAACCGACUAAUGUUGAAAAAUUAGCGGAUGACUUGUGGCUGGGGGUGAAAGGCCAAUCAAACCGGGAGAUAGCUGGUUCUCCCCGAAAGCUAUUUAGGUAGCGCCUCGUGAAUUCAUCUCCGGGGGUAGAGCACUGUUUCGGCAAGGGGGUCAUCCCGACUUACCAACCCGAUGCAAACUGCGAAUACCGGAGAAUGUUAUCACGGGAGACACACGGCGGGUGCUAACGUCCGUCGUGAAGAGGGAAACAACCCAGACCGCCAGCUAAGGUCCCAAAGUCAUGGUUAAGUGGGAAACGAUGUGGGAAGGCCCAGACAGCCAGGAUGUUGGCUUAGAAGCAGCCAUCAUUUAAAGAAAGCGUAAUAGCUCACUGGUCGAGUCGGCCUGCGCGGAAGAUGUAACGGGGCUAAACCAUGCACCGAAGCUGCGGCAGCGACGCUUAUGCGUUGUUGGGUAGGGGAGCGUUCUGUAAGCCUGCGAAGGUGUGCUGUGAGGCAUGCUGGAGGUAUCAGAAGUGCGAAUGCUGACAUAAGUAACGAUAAAGCGGGUGAAAAGCCCGCUCGCCGGAAGACCAAGGGUUCCUGUCCAACGUUAAUCGGGGCAGGGUGAGUCGACCCCUAAGGCGAGGCCGAAAGGCGUAGUCGAUGGGAAACAGGUUAAUAUUCCUGUACUUGGUGUUACUGCGAAGGGGGGACGGAGAAGGCUAUGUUGGCCGGGCGACGGUUGUCCCGGUUUAAGCGUGUAGGCUGGUUUUCCAGGCAAAUCCGGAAAAUCAAGGCUGAGGCGUGAUGACGAGGCACUACGGUGCUGAAGCAACAAAUGCCCUGCUUCCAGGAAAAGCCUCUAAGCAUCAGGUAACAUCAAAUCGUACCCCAAACCGACACAGGUGGUCAGGUAGAGAAUACCAAGGCGCUUGAGAGAACUCGGGUGAAGGAACUAGGCAAAAUGGUGCCGUAACUUCGGGAGAAGGCACGCUGAUAUGUAGGUGAAGUCCCUCGCGGAUGGAGCUGAAAUCAGUCGAAGAUACCAGCUGGCUGCAACUGUUUAUUAAAAACACAGCACUGUGCAAACACGAAAGUGGACGUAUACGGUGUGACGCCUGCCCGGUGCCGGAAGGUUAAUUGAUGGGGUCAGCGCAAGCGAAGCUCUUGAUCGAAGCCCCGGUAAACGGCGGCCGUAACUAUAACGGUCCUAAGGUAGCGAAAUUCCUUGUCGGGUAAGUUCCGACCUGCACGAAUGGCGUAAUGAUGGCCAGGCUGUCUCCACCCGAGACUCAGUGAAAUUGAACUCGCUGUGAAGAUGCAGUGUACCCGCGGCAAGACGGAAAGACCCCGUGAACCUUUACUAUAGCUUGACACUGAACAUUGAGCCUUGAUGUGUAGGAUAGGUGGGAGGCUUUGAAGUGUGGACGCCAGUCUGCAUGGAGCCGACCUUGAAAUACCACCCUUUAAUGUUUGAUGUUCUAACGUUGACCCGUGAUCCGGGUUGCGGACAGUGUCUGGUGGGUAGUUUGACUGGGGCGGUCUCCUCCUAAAGAGUAACGGAGGAGCACGAAGGUUGGCUAAUCCUGGUCGGACAUCAGGAGGUUAGUGCAAUGGCAUAAGCCAGCUUGACUGCGAGCGUGACGGCGCGAGCAGGUGCGAAAGCAGGUCAUAGUGAUCCGGUGGUUCUGAAUGGAAGGGCCAUCGCUCAACGGAUAAAAGGUACUCCGGGGAUAACAGGCUGAUACCGCCCAAGAGUUCAUAUCGACGGCGGUGUUUGGCACCUCGAUGUCGGCUCAUCACAUCCUGGGGCUGAAGUAGGUCCCAAGGGUAUGGCUGUUCGCCAUUUAAAGUGGUACGCGAGCUGGGUUUAGAACGUCGUGAGACAGUUCGGUCCCUAUCUGCCGUGGGCGCUGGAGAACUGAGGGGGGCUGCUCCUAGUACGAGAGGACCGGAGUGGACGCAUCACUGGUGUUCGGGUUGUCAUGCCAAUGGCACUGCCCGGUAGCUAAAUGCGGAAGAGAUAAGUGCUGAAAGCAUCUAAGCACGAAACUUGCCCCGAGAUGAGUUCUCCCUGACCCUUUAAGGGUCCUGAAGGAACGUUGAAGACGACGACGUUGAUAGGCCGGGUGUGUAAGCGCAGCGAUGCGUUGAGCUAACCGGUACUAAUGAACCGUGAGGCUUAACCUU
rnacentral:rRNA from 1 species